rnacentral:tRNA from 1 species
GGUCCAGUAGCUCAGUCGGAUAGAGCAACGGCCUUCUAAGCCGUGGGUCGGGGGUUCGAAUCCCUCCUGGAUCACCA